ACUCUUCUUAAGUAGUACCGAGGAGCAGUUAUCGUGAAAUCCGCGUGGAGUUAAGGGGAAGGAAAAGGACCGGAAAGGAGAGGAAGUGACGUCAGGAAUGGAAAGAAAGGGGCCACGAAAAUGACGUGACGUCAGGAAGGGACGGGUUAAAGACGACAUCUUCCAUCCAGUAUCAGCAGCGCGGUUAUUUCGUGUGCUGGUAACGUUUGCAGAGUAGAAAGAACAAAGGAAAACCCAGGAACGAAGCGCCAUUUAUUGGGGAAUUAAAGAAAGACAAUCAUAUCAAGGAAAAUAAUUUCUACAACACCUCGGUUCUUCUCAAUUAUUAAUUAAGGUGCUUAAUUACUGAUCACUGACUCGUUGCUUAUUUGUGAAUACGAAUAUCACAUCAUGUUGACAUAAAAGGAAUUACUUCAUUCAGAUGUGUCUCUGAUAUUUUUAUCAACUUUCAUCAACUAAUGAAGACGAUAUAUUUAUAAGGAGCCUUCAUCUAUACAUCAACGUUUCUAUAUAAAUAUAAUCUAU